AAUAGAAAAUAAAUAAUUUGUUUCAUUUUUUUAAAGGAGGGACUGAAGAGACAUUGAAUUGGACUGUGAGCCUUUCACUAGCUUCUCAUCAGAACAGGAACAUGAAGAGGUGGAGUAAUGAUGGAAACCAGCAAUCCAAACCAUCACAAUAUGUGAGAUCCUGACCACAAACUGGAGGUGAAAUCUGUAAUGUUUCUGACCAUUUUUGCAGCAAAACUUCCAAAAAGAUGGUAAGUUACAAAAUACUGUAUAAAACAGAAAACUAGAGUGAAUUUCAG
rnacentral:lncRNA from 1 species